ACGGGAGGCAGCAGUGGGGAAUAUUGGGCAAUGGGGGAAACCCUGACCCAGCAACGCCGCGUGAGGGAAGAAGGUCUUCGGAUUGUAAACCUCUGUCCUUAGGGACGAAGAAGUGACGGUACCUAAGGAGGAAGCUCCGGCUAACUACGUGCCAGCAGCCGCGGUAAUACGUAGGGAGCGAGCGUUGUCCGGAAUUACUGGGCGUAAAGGGUGCGUAGGCGGCUGUAUAAGUCAGAUGUGAAAUACCCGGGCUUAACCCGGGGGCUGCAUCUGAUACUGUAUAGCUUGAGUGCAGGAGAGGAAAGCGGAAUUCCUAGUGUAGCGGUGAAAUGCGUAGAUAUUAGGAGGAACACCAGUGGCGAAGGCGGCUUUCUGGACUGUAACUGACGCUGAGGCACGAAAGCGUGGGGAGCAAACAGGAUUAGAUACCCUGGUA
rnacentral:rRNA from 2 species